rfam:Citrobacter rodentium ICC168, complete genome
UGCUGUCGUUGACAGCGCCCAACGCUUCACAACCUGAAAGAAGCGCCUGUUAUCAGGACGGUUGAGCCGUUUACCAGUGCAGAACUCUGCAAACACCGGGUCGCAGAACAUCGCGACGGAGGCCCGAGUUUUUACAACUGUGCCAGAGUACU